ACGGGGCCCGCACAAGCAGCGGAGCGUGUGGUUUAAUUCGAUGCAACGCGAAGAACCUUACCAAGGCUUGACAUGCCAGAAGUAGGAACUUGAAAGAGAGACCACCUGUAUUCAGUCAGGAACUGGCACAGGUGCUGCAUGGCUGUCGUCAGCUCGUGCCGUGAGGUGUUAGGUUAAGUCCUGCAACGAGCGCAACCCUCGUCGCUAGUUAAAUUUUCUAGCGAUACUGCCCGUAAAACGAGGAGGAAGGUGGGGAUGACGUCAAGUCAGCAUGACCUUUAUAUCCAGGGCUACACACACGCUACAAUGGUCGGCACAAUAGGUUGCCAAGUCGUGAGACGGAGCCAAUCCUCCAAAGCCGGCCUCAGUUCAGAUUGCAGGCUGCAACUCGCCUGCAUGAAGUUGGAGUUGCUAGUAAACGCAGGUCAGCUAUACUGCGUUGAAUACGUUCCCGGGGAUU
rnacentral:rRNA from 1 species